rnacentral:sRNA from 1 species
GCCAUUCUAUCGUUUAUCAGAUUGUCCCUCCAUGGGCUCUUCUCCAAAGCAUACGUUUAUUUGGCUUGCGUAUCGAGGACUUCCCCGUUCUGACAUUCAACAUCCCUCUCCAGUCCCUGGAAAAGGAAGUACAAAGAAAGAAGCAUGGGCAAAAUUAAAAGCAUUGAAUAUUUCCGUGUACUCCCUCGCUGGCUGUUCGUGAAAGUUACUGACGAAGAUGGAAAUCAUGGGUGGGGUGAAAGCACUCUGGAGGGUCAUUCAGAAGCUGUUGAAGGAGCAUUGAAUGCGCUAUGUCAACGGUUUCAAGGCUAUGAAGCCGAUGAUAUCGAGCAAAUAUGGCAAACAGCUUGGCGACUUGGUUUCUACAGGGGCGGUGCUGUUUUCAUGUCAGCUAUUUCCGGUAUUGACAUUGCGCUUUGGGAUCUCAAGGGCCGCCGGUUAGGUGCACCCAUCCAUCAACUGUUGGGAGGCAAGGUUCGCAACAAGGUCUCUGUCUAUGCUUGGAUUGGAGGUGACCGCCCUGCAGAUGUUGAGUCAGCUGGCAAAGCGCGGCUGGAUCAAGGGUUCAGAGUCAUAAAAAUGAAUGCCACAGAGGAUGUGAACUGGCUUGAUUCUCCCCGAGUCCUGGAGUCCAGCGUCGAGCGCCUCAAAGCCGUAAAAGAUCUAGGGCUCGAUGCCGCUCUUGACUUCCAUGGCCGUCUCCAUAAACCAAUGGCCAAACAGCUUGCUAAGCUAGUGGAGCCUUACCAGCCCCUAUUCAUUGAGGAACCCCUCCUCUCGGAGCACCCUGAGGGAAUAAAACACUUUUCUAACCA